rnacentral:tRNA from 1 species
UGCAUUUUAGUAUAUUUUGUAUAUAAUUUUUUGGUAAUUAAGGAGGUAAUUUUUGUACCAAAUGCAU